rnacentral:lncRNA from 10 species
AGAUUUCUCCAAAAGACUCUUUAAAUCUCCUACCUGGAAGGUGAGGCUCUGGCUGCCACAGUUCCAGGGCCCAGUGGAGAUAGAAAGCCAGAAGUCUCCAUAUUCAAGACUAAGAAUGAGUAGGUUUUAAUUUAGGUAUGUACCCAUGAACCAUCACCACAAUCAAGACGGUGAACACAUCCAUCACUCCUCAAAGUUUCCUUGUUCCUCUUUAUAAUCCGGCCCUCUUGCCAUCCCCAUCCUCUACACUCCAAGCAACCACUGAUCUGCUGUCACUAUUGAUGAGUUUGCAUUUUCUAGAUUUAUAUAAUGGAAUCAUACAGUAUAUACUUUUUUUCUGGCUUCUUUCACUUAGCAUAAUUAUUUUGAUAUUCUUAUAUAGUACGUAUCAAUGUUCAUUUAAAAAAUAUAACUGAAGAGUAUGUAUUGUAUGAAUACAUCACAAUGUUUAUUUAUUCAUCUGUGGAGGGAUGUUGAAGUUGUUUCCGGUUUUUGGCUACUUCAAAUAAAGCUGCCACAAACAUUUGCAAACACUGUUAAAAAUUAUUAUUAAAUGUGAGCUCUGUUAAUGAAUAUGAAAGGAGAUGGAAGGGUCAUGAAAUGCUAUUCGCAAUCCUGACUUCCUUAUGCUUGAGCUAAUGACAAAUCCAGCCUCCCUUUCACCACUUAAAAAGAUAGGAGACAGAAUUAGUUCAAACACAUGGCUGGGUGUGGUGGCUCACUUCUGUAAUCCCAGCACUUUGUGAGGCCAAGGCGGGCGGAUCACCUGAGGUCAGAAGUUUGAGACCAGCCUGGCCAAGAUGGUGAAACGCCGUCUCUAAUAAAAAAAUUAGCUGCACGUGAUGACACACGCCUGUAAUCCCAGCUACUAGGGAGGCUGAGGUGGGAGGAUUGCUUGAACCCGGGAGGUGGAGGUUGCAAUGAGCCGAGAUUGCACCACUGCACUCCAGCAUGGGCGACAAAGCAAGACCCAGCUGGGUGUGGUGGUGCACACCUAUAAUCCCAGCUACUCGGGAGGGAGGCUCAGGCAUGAGAAUCGCUUGAAGCCGGGAGGCAGGGGUUGCAGUGAGCUGAAAUCAUGCCACUGCACUCCAGCCUGGGCGACAGAGCCGAGGCUCUGUCUCAGAAAAAAAAAAGUUUUACAUCUUAAGUCUCAUAGGUGCUAACAGAUACUAACAGAAGAGGGGAACUAUUGUUUGAGUAUACUGAGGACUGGGCGCGGUGGCUCACACCUGUAAUCCUAGCACUUCAGGUGGCCGGGACGGGCGGAUCACGAGGUCAGGAGAUGGAGACCAUCCUGGUUAACAUGGUGAAAC